rnacentral:rRNA from 1 species
AUUGAACGCUGGCGGCAUGCCUUACACAUGCAAGUCGAACGGUAACAGGUUUUCGGAUGCUGACGAGUGGCGGACGGGUGAGUAAUACAUCGGAACGUGCCCGAUCGUGGGGGUUAACGCAGCGAAAGCUGUGCUAAUACCGCAUACGAUCUACGGAUGAAAGCGGGGGAUCGCAAGACCUCGUGCGGCCGGAGCGGCCGAUGGCAGAUUAGGUAGUUGGUGGGAUAAAAGCUUACCAAGCCGACGAUCUGUAGCUGGUCUGAGAGGACGACCAGCCACACUGGAACUGAGACACGGCCCAGACUCCUACGGGAGGCAGCAGUGGGGAAUUUUGGACAAUGGGCGCAAGCCUGAUCCAGCCAUGCCGCGUGCAGGAUGAAGGCCUUCGGGUUGUAAAGUGCUUUUGUACGGAACGAAAAGGCUCACUCUAAUACAGGGGGUGAAUGACGGUACCGUAAGAAUAAGCACCGGCUAACUACGUG